rnacentral:rRNA from 1 species
UACGUAGGGACCGAGCGUUGUCCGGAAUCAUUGGGCGUAAAGAGCGUGUAGGCGGCUAUUUAAGUCCUGCGUGAAAUCCUGCGGCUCAACCGCAGACGGUCGUGGGAAACUGGAUGGCUAGAGUGCGGGAGAGGAGAGUGGAAUUCCCGGUGUAGCGGUGAAAUGCGCAGAUAUCAGGAAGAACACCAACGGCGAAGGCAGCUCGCUGGGACGGUACUGACGCUGAGACGCGAAAGCGUGGGGAGCGAACAGG